ensembl:lncRNA
GGGAGGUGGGGAGGGCAAACAGAAAAAGAUUGGACACACACACCCAUAUUCAGCCGUUUACCCUGCUGCAGAUGGCUGCAGCUCUGCCAAUUGAUGCCCUUCCCUAACAACCUUAAUUAUACAGCAGGACUUGAGCUCUACUUGUCAACAAGUGUGGGUUCAGAGUGAAGCCACAGCCCUUCACCCAGAGUGACAAGCCACCUGACUCAGCAAUCUGGCCCUGUUUACUGGCCCUGUCCACCGCAAUCAACAUGCCUGCAUCUAGCCUGUCUUUAAUUCCACUGGGGCAUGGGCAGUGCAGCGCUUUUAACCCUGUAAGUGCCCUCUCCUCUGUCCCCCCUCAUCAGAGUCAGAGUCCACACAGAGCUGUCACACAAAGGAUGGACACACACACACACACACAGGCAGGUCUGAUGGACACUCUUGGACCACACAGGAUGGCUAAUUCUAGCUGUGAGCGCUAUAAUGAAACUGUCUCUCAUGAGGACCGCCACAGGCAAGAGACCCAGAGUUACCUCUGUUGCAGAGGAUAAGUUCAUUAGAGUUACCAGUCUCAGAAAUUGUAGCCCAACUAAAUGCUUCAGAGUUCAAGUAACAGACACAUCUCAACAUCAAUUGUUCAGAGGAGACUGCAUGAAUCAGGCCUUCAUGGUUGAAUUGCUACAAAGAAACCACUACUAAAGGACACCAAUAAGAAGAAUAGACUUGCUUGAUCCAAGAAACACAAGUAAUCUGUCUUUUGGUCUGAUGAGUCCAAAUUUGGGAUUUUUGGUUCUAACCGCCAUGUCUUUUUUUUUUAAACCUUUUUUAAAAUUGUUUUACCCCCUUUUUCUCCCCAAUUUCGUGGUAUCCAAUUGUUAGUAGUUACUUUGUCUCAUCACUGCAACUCCCAUAAGGACUCGGGAGAGGCGACGGUCGAGAGCCAUGCGUCCUCCGAAACACAACCCAACCAAGCCGCACUGCUUCUUAACACAGCGUGCAUCCAACCCGGAAGCCAGCCGCACCAAUGUGUACACCGUACACCUAGCGACCUGGUCAGCGUGCACUGCGCCCAGCCUGCCACAGGCGUCGCUAGUGCGCGAUGAGACAAGAAUAUCCCUGCCGGCCAAACCCUCCCUAACCCGUAUGACACUGGGACAAUUGUGCGCCGCCCCCAUGGGCCUCCCAGUCGCGUCCGGCUGCGACAUAGCUCAACCGCCAUGUCUUUGUUAGAUCCAGAGUAGGUGAACAGCUGAUCUCUGCAUGUGUGGUUCCCACCGUGAAGCAUGUAGGAGGAGGUGUGAUGGUGUGGGGGUGCUUUGCUGGUGACACCUUCAGUGAUUUAUUUAGAAUUGAAGGCACACUUAACCAGAAUGGCUACCACAGCAUUCUGCAGUAAUAUGCCAUCCCAUCUGGUUUGCACUUAGUGGGACGAUAAUUUGUUGUUCAACAGGACAAAGACCCAACAUACCUCCAGACUCUAAGGGCUAUUUGACCAAGAAUGGGAGUGAUGGAGUGCUGUAUCAGAUGAACUGGCCUCCACAAUCACCCAAUAUCAACCCAAUUGAGAUGGUUUGUGAUGAGUUGGACCACAGAGUGAAGGCAAAGCAGCCAACAAGUGUUCAGCAUAUGUGGGAACUCCUUCAAGACUGUUGGAAAAGCAUUCCAGGUGAAGCUGGUUGAUAGAAUGCCAAAAGUGUGCAAAGCUGUCAUCAAGGCAGAGUGUCUACUUUAAAAUACAUGUUAAUACAUGAUGUUUAACACAAAGAAAAACUAGGUGUCCAACUUUUAACUGGUACUGUACAUAGUCACUUUAAUGUUUACAUACUGUUUUAUCCACUAUAUAUGUAUAUACUGUAUUUAUAAUUAACACAUCUUAACAAAACAUCUUUGCUGUAGGA